GACGAACGCUGGCGGCGUGCUUAACACAUGCAAGUCGAACGGAAAGGCCCUGCUUGCAGGGUACUCGAGUGGCGAACGGGUGAGUAACACGUGGGUGAUCUGCCCUGCACUUCGGGAUAAGCCUGGGAAACUGGGUCUAAUACCGGAUAGGAGCCAUUUUUAGUGUGAUGGUUGGAAAGUUUUUUCAGUGUAGGAUGAGCUCGCGGCCUAUCAGCUUGUUGGUGGGGUAAUGGCCUACCAAGGCGGCGACGGGUAGCCGGCCUGAGAGGGUGGACGGCCACAUUGGGACUGAGAUACGGCCCAGACUCCUACGGGAGGCAGCAGUGGGGAAUAUUGCACAAUGGGCGCAAGCCUGAUGCAGCGACGCCGCGUGGGGGAUGACGGCCUUCGGGUUGUAAACUCCUUUCGCUAGGGACGAAGCUUUUGUGACGGUACCUAGAUAAGAAGCACCGGCUAACUACGUG
rnacentral:rRNA from 1 species